rnacentral:misc_RNA from 1 species
UCCGGUUUAUCACCGGCAGUCUCCUCAGAGUGCCCAGCAUAACCUGAUGGCAACAGAGGACAAGGGUUGCGCUCGUUGCGGGACUUAACCCAACAUCUCACGACACGAGCUGACGACAGCCAUGCAGCACCUCUACGACUGCCCUUGCGGGAGCCGGCUUUCGCCGGAUGUCAGUCGCUGUUCAAGCCUGGGUAAGGUUCUUCGCGUUGCGUCGAAUUGAACCACAUGCUCCACCGCUUGUGCGGGCCCCCGUCAAUUCCUUUGAGUUUCAGCCUUGCGGCCGUACUCCCCAGGCGGGGCACUUACUGCGUUAGCGACGGCACCGGCGGUAACCCGCCGACACUUAGUAUUCAUAGUUUAAGGCGUGGACUAC